AUACAUGCAGUCGAGCGGACUUUUAAAGCUUGCUUUUGAAAGGUCAGCGGCGGACGGGUGAGUAACACGUGGGCAACCUGCCUGUAAGACUGGGAUAACUUCGGGAAACCGGAGCUAAUACCGGAUAAUAUAAGGAACCUCCUGGUUCUUUAUUGAAAGAUGGUUUCGGCUAUCACUUACAGAUGGGCCCGCGGCGCAUUAGCUAGUUGGUGAGGUAACGGCUCACCAAGGCGACGAUGCGUAGCCGACCUGAGAGGGUGAUCGGCCACACUGGGACUGAGACACGGCCCAGACUCCUACGGGAGGCAGCAGUAGGGAAUCUUCCACAAUGGACGAAAGUCUGAUGGAGCAACGCCGCGUGAGCGAUGAAGGCCUUCGGGUCGUAAAGCUCUGUUGUUAGGGAAGAACAAGUGCGAGAGUAACUGCUCGCACCUUGACGGUACCUAACCAGAAAGCCACGGCUAACUACGUGCCAGCAGCCGCGGUAAUACGUAGGUGGCAAGCGUUGUCCGGAAUUAUUGGGCGUAAAGCGCGCGCAGGUGGUCCUUUAAGUCUGAUGUGAAAGCCCACGGCUCAACCGUGGAGGGUCAUUGGAAACUGGGGGACUUGAGUGCAGAAGAGGAAAGUGGAAUUCCAAGUGUAGCGGUGAAAUGCGU
rnacentral:rRNA from 1 species